UCAUUUAGUUGGGCACUCUAAAGGAACCGCCUCGGUCAACGGGGAGGAAGUGGGAUGACGUCAAGUCCUCAUUGGCCUUUAUGCCCAGGGCUACACACGUGCUACAAUGGCCAGUACAAAGGGCUGCAAACCCGCGAGGGUCAGCAAAUCCCAAAAACCUGGCCUCAGUUCGGAUUGGAGUCUGCAACCCGACUCCAUGAAGUUGGAACCGCUAGUAAUCGCGGAUCAGCAUGCCGCGGUGAAUACGUUCCCGGGCCUU
rnacentral:rRNA from 1 species